UAUCGGGUGUGCUUGCCUGGUGAGGUCG
rnacentral:sRNA from 1 species